AUAAUGGGUCAGCGACUUAUAUUCUGUAGCAAGGUUAACCGAAUAGGGGAGCCGAAGGGAAACCGAGUCUUAACUGGGCGUUAAGUUGCAGGGUAUAGACCCGAAACCCGGUGAUCUAGCCAUGGGCAGGUUGAAGGUUGGGUAACACUAACUGGAGGACCGAACCGACUAAUGUUGAAAAAUUAGCGGAUGACUUGUGGCUGGGGGUGAAAGGCCAAUCAAACCGGGAGAUAGCUGGUUCUCCCCGAAAGCUAUUUAGGUAGCGCCUCGUGAAUUCAUCUCCGGGGGUAGAGCACUGUUUCGGCAAGGGGGUCAUCCCGACUUACCAACCCGAUGCAAACUGCGAAUACCGGAGAAUGUUAUCACGGGAGACACACGGCGGGUGCUAACGUCCGUCGUGAAGAGGGAAACAACCCAGACCGCCAGCUAAGGUCCCAAAGUCAUGGUUAAGUGGGAAACGAUGUGGGAAGGCCCAGACAGCCAGGAUGUUGGCUUAGAAGCAGCCAUCAUUUAAAGAAAGCGUAAUAGCUCACUGGUCGAGUCGGCCUGCGCGGAAGAUGUAACGGGGCUAAACCAUGCACCGAAGCUGCGGCAGCGACGCUUAUGCGUUGUUGGGUAGGGGAGCGUUCUGUAAGCCUGCGAAGGUGUGCUGUGAGGCAUGC
rnacentral:rRNA from 1 species